rnacentral:lncRNA from 1 species
UCACUGUCAUUUCUCAAACGUCAAGGGUGAUUUGUGUGUUAACCUGGAACCUGAAGGGUGGUUAGUGUAUUUCAUCCUACUUUCUAGCACAUCCCAUCAUUGUAUAUACAGAGUUUUCUCUUAUAAAUAUUUUGUCAAAAGCAUACAUGUCCAGCCGACUCUCUAAAUGGGUCGUUGAGUUCGGACAAUCAGACAUAAAAUUUUUGCAAAAGGGAGUAAUUAAAUCAGAGAGGAGGGGAGCUCAUGGGCAAAGCUAGGAAAUUAAAUUAGCACUCAAGGAUCACGAGGUUAUUAAAGAACCACCGCAAAGUGAAGAAGUGACCAUCGUUGGGGAAAUUACUAAGUUUCAAAACGUUAAUGUAGAACCACCUCAGAUCGAUCUCAUCUCGGCAUGAAAAAUGUUCUUUGAUAGAGCAAAAAAACAACUUGGGAGCAACGGCAAGAAUAGUCUUAAAAAGUCCCAAAGGUGCAGUUUUUGUG